AACAGUCCAUGCUCUACCCUGGCUCCUGUCUGGCAGAGGAGACGGACAUUACACACGAUUUCAGACCCAGCAGGCUGUGGGCUGCUCAUAAGUGAGGGCUACUGGAUGCAGAGGAGGGAAGGGAUCUGGGAGGUAGAUGUGGGAUCAGACCUGCAUCUUGAAGGAUGAGUAGGAUGCUGACGGGCAGAGAAAGCAGGCAGGGCAGAAAUAGCAAGCAGGGCGUUCCUAGCAGGCGACACAGCCUGGGGAAAGGCACAGGGCAGCCAGCUGCUGGGCUGUUGGGCCCAGGGCAGUGGCAGAUGGGGACAGGGAGCCGGUAGUGUUAUGGUUGGUUUGAAAGACAGGGUCUGCAGCUUAGCAUCAUCGCCACGCUGUCUGCAUCCUUGGAGAAGAGAUUAAUGGGACUUGUCCUUCCUCUUUUGUAGCCCGCUCCCAAAAGACUUCAGGCAUCGGGCGCCUGAUGGUGCAUGUCAUUGAAGCUACAGAAUUAAAAGCCUGCAAACCAAAUGGAAAGAGCAACCCAUACUGUGAAAUCAGCAUGGGCUCCCAGAGCUACACCACCAGGACCAUCCAGGACACACUCAAUCCCAAGUGGAAUUUUAACUGCCAGUUCUUUGUUAAGGAUCUCUACCAAGAUGUGCUGUGUCUCACCCUGUUUGACAGAGACCAGUUUUCACCAGAUGGUAAGUGUCGCUCAGCCAGGGGAUCUAGAGGCUUUCCCAGUUUCCUAGAUCCUGGAGUCCAGAUCCAGGGGCCUCAGCUGUGUACAGACCCCAUGCCACUUCAGGGAAGUGACACAGGCCUUGUCAUCUCGCUUUGGCAGCAGGUGGGUGGCCUUCCUCAGGGAAGGAGGUGGCCUGAGAUGUGUUUCAGGUCUUUGACCCAUCACUCCCUACACACAGGAUGUGAACACCACUCCUGGAGCAUUCUCAGAAUGGAGAUUUGAAUUUCCAUGUGGCAGCUUCUCACACACAAACCUGCCAUCAUUCCCCACACACCCACUCACGAUAUUCAACAGCCAUGAGCCAAAAGUAGUUCCUUGUUUCAGAUUUGAAGGUUUUACGAAUCCUACUUCUUCCGGAUGUAGCUCUUUAAUGAUUUUAUAAAGAAAGACUUCUGACUCCCCUGUGUUUAUUCACCAGAUUUCCUGGGUCGUACUGAAAUUCCAGUGGCAAAAAUUCGAACAGAACAGGAAAGCAAAGGCCCUAUGACCCGCCGACUGCUGCUGCACGAGGUCCCCACCGGGGAGGUCUGGGUCCGCUUUGACCUGCAGCUUUUUGAGCAAAAAACUCUCUUGUAGGGGUUCUAAAGGACAGCACCAGCGGGACAGCCCACAAGGCUGGGGCUGGAGAAUGAGAGACUGCGCUCUCUUGGGGCUGAGGGAGCACCAUGCAGCUUCACCCCUCACAAAGCCACGCACGCUGGGGGCUCUGUUUUCCUGCACACUAAAUAGCUAGCAAUCUAUGCAAACACCUUUCCCGUAAAGAAACCAAACCCCAUAGUACAGUGCCUUGUCCUAGUGUUCACAUGUUCAGCUCUGUUUAGAUGCCAAGGUUUCCAUUUUCAGGGCUAUAAAAAGUAUUACAUGGAAAUGAGGCAUCAGACCACCAGAUGUUACCGCUCAGUUGAAUGUGUCCACCGUGGAGUGGUUUGGUGACGCUGUAACCAUUCCAUGCCAGUGACCUCUGCUGGGUCACAGCCACUCAGGAGGGGAAGGGUCAGGAUGAGAGGCUGCAGCCUCGACGCCUGUGCGGCCUGAUACUGAAAUAGCAUCUACUCGUGCACUGAAUAAAAACAGAAACUUGAUCAUUUUAUUCCUGAUUAGAUUUUAUCACUCUCUGCUAAGACAAUAUAGUCUGGAGUAUAAGUGGGAAAGCUUGAUUUAAAUACUGUGAACUCUAAUAAUGUGGAAAAUAUUUUUCAACUUUAAUUUUCUGAAGUAUAAAUUAUUUAUGUAAAUUCAUUGUUUUUGCAUAUUUCUUAGGACAUGCAUCUUUAAGCUUUAUCAUUGCCCAUAUGUACAGAAAGAGAAUAAAGACACACGUUUAUGGAUGGAA
rnacentral:sRNA from 1 species